rnacentral:sRNA from 1 species
AGGAAAACGAAGAAGAAGAAGAAUAUAACAAAAAAAAAAAAAAAAAAACGUAUAAUAGAUAGAGAGGGGGAAUCGAACCAUCUGACCAUCUGACCAAGACAAUAUUUUCAAAAGUUAUGGAAAGAGAUUAAAUUUAUAAACUUAAAGACUUUGAGUUAAGUUUUAACUGCAAUUACCGUUUCCGUUAGCAAAGUUAACAGCCGUUAACACGGGAGUACGAUUUUACCAAAUUUUAAAAAACGAAGGUUUUAAAAGGCCACCUAAACUAAAUGCCGUAUUUUUAUCCCGAAUUUAAUAUUACACGUAUUAAACAGGCAAAAAAUUAUUUGAACACAUUAGAUUUUUAAA